ACAACAUCUACAGCACACAAUGAUCGCAUAAUCAUCUUGAGAACCUCUGCUGAUAAAAGAGGAAUUGGAGUUAAAUCUUUAAUAGGUGGAAUUUAGGCAAACCGCACUGGAAAAUAAACAGAUGAGUCAGAGCAACAAAAAUUUCUGCCAAAAAUAAACACGGGUUUAAAAAAAAACGAAAGAAAUAGACAUCUGUUCCUUCCUGGAAUGCAAAGGACCAAAACAACGACAAAAGCAGGUCAAACUCUGGCUUCUCUCUUUCUCUCGCGCCUCCGCUGCUGCGCGGUAAUUAAGUGCGCGGGAACAGGACGGAGCUCCAGGGAGCUCAUUAGGCUUUUCAAUUAGUGAAAAAUACACAAGGUAGAGUCCUCGGCUUUUUAGGGACUCUAGAAACGGGCAGAGAUGCCAAGAACAGUCCCUUUCACUUUCCCCUCAUCUGAAACAGGGCGGGGGUGACACCCCUGACAGACCUGGUGCUCCUGAGGGGUAUCCUCAUCACACUUCAGUCUUAAAAUCCAAGGAAGAUGCUCAGAAAAUCUGCAUCUCAACAAACGCGAGGCCUCAGAAUGCGGCUGGCGCGAGACAGCAGGAGACCUUCCCCUUUAACUGUGUGUAUUGAACAAAGAACCCUCUCUCAUAAGAGACAUCUGUCUGCUCCUCACAAGAAGGCAGAGAGACAUGCGGGUUUGAGACAGCAUGAGGGGGAGCAACCCAGUCAGAGGACUUGGAGAAACAUAAAGCAUUGAGUUUUGUUAUUAAAAUUAAAGAGGACAUCUGCUGUGGAAGAGACACUAGAAAGCAUUGUAAAUCUGCUGGACCAUUCUGCUUUCUCAGAUUUGGUCGUCUUCAGGAACACGUUCAAGCCAUAUUUGUGAGUCUGGCGUGAGUCCGGCCCUCGAUCUGCUCAUUCUAGAUUCAGAGUCUGUUCUGUUCUCCUGGAGCACGAGCUCCAGUCCGUCUCUGGAGAGUCCCGUCGAUGCAUGCUCUGAGUUCUGAGAUGAAC